UAGCAGAUCAUUUCUGUUUCUUUAUUGCUCUGAAAACUUUCUCUCUUCCAAACUCCAUCUCUCGAUGCUUCCCUAAUCUGGUUCGCUCAGCUCAUCAUGCCAUGCUUGGGUCUCUGCAUAAUCAGGAACGCCCAUUUCCAGGUAAAAUUCCUCUCCUCUUCUUAGCGUCUCUGUUGCAAGGAUAUGUGCAAGGUUGUUUGCAGAUCUUGUUGUGUGAAGAAAUCUGAUAUUUUUUACUUCUAGUAUUUUCUGUUGUAUAUCAUAAAUAUAUGCCCCUACCAUUGAUCUGUCAUGAUCCUUUUUGUUGCAUUUCUUGAUUAUUACGAGGGAAUCUCCUUCAAAAAUGAGUGCCUGCCAACCAUGGUCAACUCCUACUUGGACUGCUUUCCGACAGGCAAUUGCUUUAGCAGCAAAAGCAGAUGGAACUCCAUUGUGGAUUUCUGAGCAGGAUAAAAGAAUUUUUCCUUCCGAGUCUCUGGCCACAACACCUGAGGCUGACCGGUUCUGAAUCUGAUUAUAUGCACUAUCAAAAUUAAUCUUUAUGGAUUCCCACUGUGGGUGUGUCCAUCUCUCAUUUCCUUUCAUUAUUUCUGAGUUUCUUUGUUCAAGAUCAGUUAACUCAAUGAUGUAAUUACUAACAAAGUUUGCAACUUCUAUUCCAUUACUAACUUUGCCUUCAUGUAUGUUUCUUUUUCUGUCUCCCCAUAUGGCCUAUAGUGCACAGCAAAAGAGUCGACUUUGAUUUGGGUUUAACUGCUCUAGCGCCCAGGUGAGCCAUUGUACAAAAUCUUCGCUUUGAUACAUCAUAAUGUUCUGAAAUGAUAACAUUUUCCAUACCUCUCUUGUAACAGCACAGUCACGGAAUAAGUGAUUCAUCGUUUCAGCUCCUUCUCCACAUCGGGGACACCUUGUGUUGACUGCUAAUUUUCGGUGUUGUAGAUUUACCUUUGUAGGCAGAUAGUUCCAUGAUAGCCGCCACAUUGUGAUAUUUAUUUUUGUUGGUAUAUUCAGGCUCCAAAGUGUUUUGUAAAAUUUUCUGUAGAGGUUUUGUAAAGCAUAAGCUCUAGGAUUAUCAGUCGAUCUCUGUAAUAGUUGAUAGGCACUUCGUACCGUGAAUUCACCCGACUUCUCCCUUCCCCAAAUAAGAAAAUCUUCAUGCGGUGAUUGUGCCAGCGGGAUCCUAAGGAUUCUUUCAGCAUCUGCUUCAGUGAAGGUAUUGUUAAUCAACUCUGCAUUCCAGCUUCUACUAUUACUGUCGAUUAACUCCUUUACUUUAGAAACGCGCAUAGAAUUAACUCCUGACGACAAUUUAAAAUUAUCAGAAUCUGGAAUCCAAGCAUCAGUAAUGGAUAUACUAGAACCCGUUCCCACCUUCCAACAGUGCCCUAUUAUCAAUAAGGCUUUGGCUGCCCAAACACUUUUCCACACAUAAGAACAAGAGUUUCCUAACUGGGAGUUUAAAAAAUCAUUUUCUGGGAAGUAUUUGGCUUUAAAAACUUGCGCAACAAGAGAACCCUGAUUAUUCAUAAUCUGCCAUCCUUGUUUAGCCAAUAAUGAGAUAUUGAAUUGCGCCAUAUUUCGGAAACCCAUACCUCCCUCCUCUUUAGGCUUACACAUAUAUUCCCAUUGGCACCAAUGUAUCCCUUUUUUGCCUUUUCCUUUCUGCCACCAGAAUCUGGCAAACAGUUUUUCUAUCUCCUCACAGAAAGAUUUUGGUAGCAAAAAACAUGUCAUCGCAUAAAUAGGGAUUGCUUGAAGUACUGCUUUAAUGAAAACUUCUUUGCCUCAUUGAGAUAAGAAACGUGUACUCCAAUUAUCU
rnacentral:lncRNA from 1 species